AUGGAAAAUAUGUAUUCAUUUUCCCCUCUUCAUUCAUUUAAUACCAUUCAUUUCUUAAAAGUGAGCUUUCAGAAACAGUUUGCAUGUUGGCUUGCAUAUGUUUAUUUGUCUGUGUCUGUGUUUUCUACUUGUCUGCAUCUUGACAAUUUAAUUUUGCAUACAAAUUUUUCAGUGAAUCUGAAUUUCAUUUUUUUCAUUCCAAUGAAAUUUACAUUGUAUUUUGUUUUCAUUUUACAGAUGUAGUUCAAAAAAAGUAUGGUAAAGCCCCUUUUAUACCCCUUCACCCCCCAAACACUGUAGAACACCUGCGUUCGUGGUGGUGUAAAGAUAUCCCAGCUUUUAACCAACGUGUCACCACUGGCUUGCCCUCUCCCAGAUCUCUAGUAUUCUAGCACAAUAUUGCAGUUAGGGACUCUCCCAUAUCCCUCCCUUCUCUGCUCUUGCAAAGCCUGUAUAUUCCAACAUAGUCUGUGGGUCAAGUGUAAACUUGAGGGGUACUCUUACACUGCCUCUGAGCACAUUACCCAAAGGUCCCUGGGUACUCAAAAACCUCCCAUGGUUUCUCCUAGAAUUUUUUUAAAAGCCAAUGAAAGCAGUUUUAAUUCAUUCUUUUUUACUUCAUUGACACAGCUGUCAAUUUUGCAAACUCCAACUACUUCAAAUAUUUGUAGAAGGAUUUCAUAGCUUAAGGAAAGAUCAAUAAUAAUAAUCAUAAUACAUUUUUGAUUUCUAAGUUUUCAUGCGAAUGACACAAGGAACUACUGUCCUACAAUGUUCCCAGAAGGCUUUUCAUAAAACGCAAACGUAGUCUUUAGAAGUUUAAUAUCCUGUUUUUCUAAUGACAUUUUUGUCAGUGUCCUUUCGUUUUCAGAGGGAAUCAAAUUCACCUCUCAAUGCAUGUAGCUGGCUUCAUGUAGCCCCUGCCACAGGCCUUGCUUGGAACCAAUGGAAGUUUUUUCCUCUCUGCUUCCUCCUCUCUUUUCAAGUAACUCUGUCUUGUGUGAGUGUGUAUUUGCAUUUUAGUCUCAAAAGGGGAUUGAAUAAGAUGAGUUUUAUUUUGCCAUGAGUGAAAAUAGAAAUUCGCCAAAAACAAAGUGAUGUAAUCAUUGCUGAAUGAAAUGUGAACGCAGACAGGUUCCCAAGAGCCAAACCCUGCACUUUCUCUAGCAGCAGCUCUUGAGUAUCCUCUAAUCCAUUGUCCAUGGAUACCUUAAAAACAAAGUUACAACCACGAAGAGAAGCGAUGAUUUAUAUCUGGCAGUGACAAAGAAUGUCUUAAAGGUAUCCAACCAAAGAGUAAGGGCCCGAGCGUUGUCCAGAUAAUUUAAGAACUUUGUACAAAGGUAACUACCAUCACUAAUGAUACUGAAAUUUUCCCACCAGUCAGUAACCUCAUGUUUCCUGCUUUAGUUUUGACCAGUAUUCUCAGGACAAAAGGAAGUUUCCAGGCACACUGGUACAUAGGUGUGUGCCUAUGUGUGUGUGUGGAUUUGUCUAAAUCUGGAUGCAAUUAAUAUUGUAUGUGAACUUGUUCCCAUCAGAGCACAGCGAAAACAAAUACAACUAGGAACCAUGAGGUUGCGACUUCGGUCCCUGGCCAUGCUCAGUAGGUUAAUGAUCCUGCAUUGCCCUGAGCUGUAGCGUAGGUUGCAGACGUGGCUCGGAACCCACAUUGCUGUGGCUGUGGCAUAGGCGGGCAACUCAUUAGACCUCUAGCCAAGGAACCUUCAUGUGCCGCAGGUGCAGCCCUAAAAAGCCAAAAUGACUGAAUAAAUAAAUAAAUUCCCCUCGAGCUGUGAAUCCC
rnacentral:lncRNA from 1 species